rnacentral:rRNA from 1 species
CUGAUUAGGGCGAGGGUCCACCCGUUCCCAUCCCGAACACGGAAGUUAAGCUCGCUUCUGCCCACGAUACUUGGCUGGAGACGGCCUGGAAAAAUAGGUAGCGCC